UAAGCGACUAAGCGUACACGGUGGAUGCCCUGGCAGUCAGAGGCGAUGAAGGACGUGCUAAUCUGCGAUAAGCGUCGGUAAGGUGAUAUGAACCGUUAUAACCGGCGAUUUCCGAAUGGGGAAACCCAGUGUGUUUCGACACACUAUCAUUAACUGAAUCCAUAGGUUAAUGAGGCGAACCGGGGGAACUGAAACAUCUAAGUACCCCGAGGAAAAGAAAUCAACCGAGAUUCCCCCAGUAGCGGCGAGCGAACGGGGAGCAGCCCAGAGCCUGAAUCAGUGUGUGUGUUAGUGGAAGCGUCUGGAAAGACGCGCGAUACAGGGUGACAGCCCCGUACACAAAAAUGCACAUGCUGUGAGCUCGAUGAGUAGGGCGGGACACGUGGUAUCCUGUCUGAAUAUGGGGGGACCAUCCUCCAAGGCUAAAUACUCCUGACUGACCGAUAGUGAACCAGUACCGUGAGGGAAAGGCGAAAAGAACCCCGGCGAGGGGAGUGAAAAAGAACCUGAAACCGUGUACGUACAAGCAGUGGGAGCACGCUUAGGCGUGUGACUGCGUACCUUUUGUAUAAUGGGUCAGCGACUUAUAUUCUGUAGCAAGGUUAACCGAAUAGGGGAGCCGAAGGGAAACCGAGUCUUAACUGGGCGUUAAGUUGCAGGGUAUAGACCCGAAACCCGGUGAUCUAGCCAUGGGCAGGUUGAAGGUUGGGUAACACUAACUGGAGGACCGAACCGACUAAUGUUGAAAAAUUAGCGGAUGACUUGUGGCUGGGGGUGAAAGGCCAAUCAAACCGGGAGAUAGCUGGUUCUCCCCGAAAGCUAUUUAGGUAGCGCCUCGUGAAUUCAUCUCCGGGGGUAGAGCACUGUUUCGGCAAGGGGGUCAUCCCGACUUACCAACCCGAUGCAAACUGCGAAUACCGGAGAAUGUUAUCACGGGAGACACACGGCGGGUGCUAACGUCCGUCGUGAAGAGGGAAACAACCCAGACCGCCAGCUAAGGUCCCAAAGUCAUGGUUAAGUGGGAAACGAUGUGGGAAGGCCCAGACAGCCAGGAUGUUGGCUUAGAAGCAGCCAUCAUUUAAAGAAAGCGUAAUAGCUCACUGGUCGAGUCGGCCUGCGCGGAAGAUGUAACGGGGCUAAACCAUGCACCGAAGCUGCGGCAGCGACGCUGAUGCGUUGUUGGGUAGGGGAGCGUUCUGUAAGCCUGUGAAGGUGUGCUGUGAGGCAUGCUGGAGGUAUCAGAAGUGCGAAUGCUGACAUAAGUAACGAUAAAGCGGGUGAAAAGCCCGCUCGCCGGAAGACCAAGGGUUCCUGUCCAACGUUAAUCGGGGCAGGGUGAGUCGACCCCUAAGGCGAGGCCGAAAGGCGUAGUCGAUGGGAAACAGGUUAAUAUUCCUGUACUUGGUGUUACUGCGAAGGGGGGACGGAGAAGGCUAUGUUGGCCGGGCGACGGUUGUCCCGGUUUAAGCGUGUAGGCUGGUUUUCCAGGCAAAUCCGGAAAAUCAAGGCUGAGGCGUGAUGACGAGGCACUACGGUGCUGAAGCAACAAAUGCCCUGCUUCCAGGAAAAGCCUCUAAGCAUCAGGUAACAUCAAAUCGUACCCCAAACCGACACAGGUGGUCAGGUAGAGAAUACCAAGGCGCUUGAGAGAACUCGGGUGAAGGAACUAGGCAAAAUGGUGCCGUAACUUCGGGAGAAGGCACGCUGAUAUGUAGGUGAAGUCCCUCGCGGAUGGAGCUGAAAUCAGUCGAAGAUACCAGCUGGCUGCAACUGUUUAUUAAAAACACAGCACUGUGCAAACACGAAAGUGGACGUAUACGGUGUGACGCCUGCCCGGUGCCGGAAGGUUAAUUGAUGGGGUUAGCCGCAAGGCGAAGCUCUUGAUCGAAGCCCCGGUAAACGGCGGCCGUAACUAUAACGGUCCUAAGGUAGCGAAAUUCCUUGUCGGGUAAGUUCCGACCUGCACGAAUGGCGUAAUGAUGGCCAGGCUGUCUCCACCCGAGACUCAGUGAAAUUGAACUCGCUGUGAAGAUGCAGUGUACCCGCGGCAAGACGGAAAGACCCCGUGAACCUUUACUAUAGCUUGACACUGAACAUUGAGCCUUGAUGUGUAGGAUAGGUGGGAGGCUUUGAAGUGUGGACGCCAGUCUGCAUGGAGCCGACCUUGAAAUACCACCCUUUAAUGUUUGAUGUUCUAACGUUGACCCGUAAUCCGGGUUGCGGACAGUGUCUGGUGGGUAGUUUGACUGGGGCGGUCUCCUCCUAAAGAGUAACGGAGGAGCACGAAGGUUGGCUAAUCCUGGUCGGACAUCAGGAGGUUAGUGCAAUGGCAUAAGCCAGCUUGACUGCGAGCGUGACGGCGCGAGCAGGUGCGAAAGCAGGUCAUAGUGAUCCGGUGGUUCUGAAUGGAAGGGCCAUCGCUCAACGGAUAAAAGGUACUCCGGGGAUAACAGGCUGAUACCGCCCAAGAGUUCAUAUCGACGGCGGUGUUUGGCACCUCGAUGUCGGCUCAUCACAUCCUGGGGCUGAAGUAGGUCCCAAGGGUAUGGCUGUUCGCCAUUUAAAGUGGUACGCGAGCUGGGUUUAGAACGUCGUGAGACAGUUCGGUCCCUAUCUGCCGUGGGCGCUGGAGAACUGAGGGGGGCUGCUCCUAGUACGAGAGGACCGGAGUGGACGCAUCACUGGUGUUCGGGUUGUCAUGCCAAUGGCACUGCCCGGUAGCUAAAUGCGGAAGAGAUAAGUGCUGAAAGCAUCUAAGCACGAAACUUGCCCCGAGAUGAGUUCUCCCUGACCCUUGAGAGUCCUGAAGGAACGUUGAAGACGACGACGUUGAUAGGCCGGGUGUGUAAGCGCAGCGAUGCGUUGAGCUAACCGGUACUAAUGAACCGUGAGGCUUAACCU
rnacentral:rRNA from 1 species